rnacentral:rRNA from 1 species
GACGAACGCUGGCGGCGUGCUUAACACAUGCAAGUCGAACGAUGAAGCUGGAGCUUGCUCCGGUGGAUUAGUGGCGAACGGGUGAGUAACACGUGCGUAAUCUGCCCUUGACUCUGGGAUAACUGCGGGAAACUGUAGCUAAUACCGGAUACGACACCUUCGGGCAUCCGAUGGGUGUGGAAAGAAUUUGGGUCAAGGAUGAACUCGCGGCCUAUCAGCUAGUUGGUGAGGUAAUGGCUCACCAAGGCGACGACGGGUAGCCGGCCGGAGAGGGUGACCGGCCACACUGGGACUGAGACACAGCCCAGACUCCUACGGGAGGCAGCAGUGGGGAAUAUUGCACAAUGGGCGAAAGCCUGAUGCAGCAACGCCGCGUGAGGGAUGAAGGCCUUCGGGUUGUAAACCUCUUUUAGUUGGGAAGAAGCGAAAGUGACGGUACCAACAGAAAAAGCACCGGCUAACUACGUGCCAGCAGCCGCCGUAA